rnacentral:rRNA from 1 species
GUAUGUGGUUUAAUUCGAUGCAACGCGAAGAACCUUACCUGGUCUUGACAUCCCGGAGACCCUUAGGAAACUAGGGGGUGCUUCCAUCUGGAAGAAUCUGGAGACAGGUGCUGCAUGGCUGUCGUCAGCUCGUGUCGUGAGAUGUUGGGUUAAGUCCCGCAACGAGCGCAACCCUUGCCUUAGUUGCCAGCAGUUCGGCUGGGCACUCUAAAGGGACUGCCGGUGUUAAACCGGAGGAAGGUGGGGAUGACGUCAAGUCCUCAUGGCCUUUAUGACCAGGGCUGCACACGUACUACAAUGGCCGAUACAAAGGGCAGCGACACUGCGAGGUGAAGCCAAUCCCGUAAAAUCGGUCUCAGUCCGGAUUGGAGUCUGCAACUCGACUCCAUGAAGUUGGAAUCGCUAGUAAUCGUGGAUCAGCAUGCCACGGUGAAUACGUUCCCGGGCCUU